rnacentral:ncRNA from 1 species
AAUUUUUUUUUAAUGAAAAGUUUGAUUCUUGCUUUUUAAUUUAAAUUUUGAAUUAUAUUUUAUGUAAGAUUUUUCUUUAUUUUCUAAAUGGAUUUUUUUCAGUAUUUAAUUUUAGUUUUUAUUGAAUGAUAAAACUAGAUUUUCAAUUUAUAACUGACAAAUGUUGUGCCAGCCGUCGCGGUUAUACAGUUAGUUAAAUUAAAUUUUUUUGAUUAGGUAUUUUUAAUUUUUUUUGUAAAUUAAUUGGGAAUUUUUGGGUGGAAUUUUUAUUUUUGUUUUAUUUAUUGGUUUUUAUUUAUAUAUGAAAGUUAUUAAGAAACUAGGAUUAGAUACCCUAUUAUUAUAACUGUAAAUUUUCUUAAUAUUAAUAGUUAUGUUCUUUAAAUUAAAAGAAUUUGGCGGUAAUUUAAUCUUUCUAGAGGAACCUGUCCUGUAAUUGAUAAUCCACGAUUGAUUUUAUUUUAAUUUUGUUUAUAUAUCGCUGUCAUUGAAUGUUUUAAAAGAAUAAUUUUCUUAAAACUUUAUAAGUUUAAUGUUAGGUCAAGAUGUAGCUAUAUUAAAGUAGAGAUGGGUUACAUUGAAUUUAUUUUUGGAUUAAUAUUUUUUAUUUAUUAUGAAAUUGGAUUUAGAUGUAAUUUUUAUAAAAUUAUAAUUUUGAUUUUAGUUCUAAAUUAUGUACACAUCGCCCGUCACUCUCAUUUUAAGUUGAGAUAAGUCGUAACAAAGUAGGCCUACCGGAAGGUGGGCCUGGUUUUCG